rnacentral:rRNA from 1 species
AGGGAAUCUUCCACAAUGGACGCAAGUCUGAUGGAGCAACGCCGCGUGAGUGAAGAAGGCUUUCGGGUCGUAAAACUCUGUAUUGAAGAAGAACGUGUGUGACAGUAACUGGUCAUGCAGUGACGGUAUUCAAUCAGAAAGUCACGGCUAACUACGUGCCAGCAGCCGCGGUAAUACGUAGGUGGCAAGCGUUGUCCGGAUUUAUUGGGCGUAAAGCGAGUGCAGGCGGUCUUUUA